CUCGUUCUUCAAUCUGUCCACUUACUUCACUCUGAAGACCUCCUUCUUUUUCUAAAUUGACUAGUGAGCUGGAGACAACACCAACAUUUUUGUAAUGGCCUGCAAGGCCUUCCGAGAUCUACCUCCUGCAACUCAGCUUCUCCUGUGCUCUCCUUCUGGACUCACUCUGCCUCAGCAACACUGGUCCCUG
ensembl:lncRNA TEX41 testis expressed 41